CAAGUACUCCCUCCGUCCGAAAAUACUUAUCAUCAAAAUGGAUAAAAAAUAUGUAUCUAGAACUAAUAUACAUCUAGAUACAUCCCCUUUUAUUCAUUUUGAUGACAAGUAUUCCCGGAUGGAGGGAGUACUAC
rfam:Triticum aestivum genome assembly, contig: Triticum_aestivum_CS42_TGACv1_scaffold_178070_2DS